CCAUCUGUGCAUGCAGCAUAUCAUAAGCGGAGGAAAAGAAACUAACAAGGAUUCCCCUAGUAACGGCGAGUGAAGCGGGAAGAGCUCAAAUUUGAAAUCUUAAAGGGUUUCCCUUUACGAAUUGUAGUUUAAAGAAGUGUUUUCUGUUGAGGUUUUGGUAAAAGUUCUUUGGAAUAGGACAUCAUAGAGGGUGAGAAUCCCGUAUUUGACCUUUACUUUCAACUUUGUGAUACACAUUCAAAGAGUCGGAUUGUUUGGGAAUGCAGUCCAAAAUGGGUAGGUAAAUUUCAUCUAAAGCUAAAUAUUGGCGAGAGACCGAUAGCGAACAAGUACCGUGAGGGAAAGAUGAAAAGAACUUUGAAAAGAGAGUUAAACAGUACGUGAAAUUGUCAAAAGGGAAGCGUUUGACACCAGUGUUGUUUUUCUGAAAAUCAAUUAAAGAACUGUUUAUGCUAAGCUGUUUAGACUUUAUCAGCUAACUGUUUAGUUUUGAGCUUUUCUUUAAUGCACUUUUCAGUUAACAAGUCAACAUCAAUUUCUUUUGCUGUAAAAAAGCUUGAGGAAGGUGGCUUGAGAUUCGUCUUAAGUGUUUAUAGCCUCUUGCCUAUGCAGUCGGAGAGAUUGAGGUCUGCAGCGUAGAUCCUUCGGGGCUAAAUGCAUUUGUGCUAAGUUAUAGCAUUUUAUAGACAACUUGUUGACUAUGAUUUGUCUUGUAGCUUACUCGCUUAUGUUAUUUUACCUACGCUUAGGAUGUUGAACGCGCACAGAGUCUC
rnacentral:rRNA from 1 species